rnacentral:rRNA from 1 species
AGAGUUUGAUCCUGGCUCAGGACGAACGCUGGCGGCGUGCUUAACACAUGCAAGUCAAGGGGAAAUUAAGUCUUCGGAUUUAAGAUUAUACUGGCGAACGGGUGCGUAACGCGUGGGUGACCUGCCUUAAAGCAUGGGAUAACCUCUGGAAACGGGGGCUAAUACCGUAUAUAUCAUCGAGCUUCCUGGCUUAAUGAAGAAAGGUGCAACUGCAUCACUUUAAGAUGGGCCCGCGUCCCAUUAGGUAGUUGGUAGGGUAAUGGCCUACCAAGCCAUCGAUGGGUAGCUGAUCUGAGAGGAUGGUCAGCCACACUGGGACUGAGAUACGGCCCAGACUCCUACGGGAGGCAGCAGUGAGGAAUAUUGCGCAAUGGGGGCAACCCUGACGCAGCAACGCCGCGUGGGUGAUGAAGGUCUUAGGAUUGUAAAGCCCUGUCAGGUGGGAAGAGAGAUAGUGGCAGUGGAAAAGUCAUUAUGUAGGACGGUACCACCAGAGGAAGCUCCGGCUAACUCCGUGCCAGCAGCCGCGGUAAUACGGGGGGAGCAAGCGUUGUCCGGAAUCAUUGGGCGUAAAGGGCGUGUAGGCGGUCUUGUCAGUCAGUUGUGAAAUGUCACGGCUUAACCGUGGAGUUGCAAUUGAAACUUCAAGACUUGAGUGUCGUAGGGGAUGAUGGAAUUCCUGGUGUAGCGGUGAAAUGCGUAGAUAUCAGGAAGAACACCGGUGGCGAAGGCUGUCAUCUGGGCGAUCACUGACGCUGAGGCGCGAAAGCGUGGGUAGCAAACAGGAUUAGAUACCCUGGUAGUCCACGCUGUAAACGAUGGGCACUAGACGUCGGUCCCGCACCGAACUCAAAGAGAAUGAGUUGGGUGUGGGGUCGGUGUCGACGCAAACGCAUUAAGUGCCCCGCUUAGGGAGUACGAUCGCAAGGUUAAACUCAAAGGAUGACGCUGCCCGCACAAGCGGU